CUGAAAUGAGGAAGACUCAGGCCAACUCUGGCCUUGCUCAACUCAAAUAUGGGUUCUAAGAGUGAUUUUGAAGGUUCUACCAGAUUUUCUACAUAGACGAUCAUGUUAUCUAUUCUCUAUACAGGCUGACCCCUAUGGCCUACUAAGAAUGAAUAAUUAAAACUCUAGGAAUCCCAGGGUUUGUUGGAGUUCAGGGUUGUCGCUGAGUGGUGGAAAUAUUGUUCUCAACCAAAAAAAAAAAAAAAAAUGUGGGGAUUACAUGCCAGUACCAUCCACCCCUGCAUUAGAAGUUUUCAUCGAAGAGCUUCAUUUCACAAGCUUUCAGCGUUGAUCUCACCUCCUCGAAGAUGACACAUCUGAUCCCUCUGUCUAAGAUCUCAUUAAGCCUUGAACAUAUUAUGAUGAAUAAAAAUGUUAAGGGACAUCAUGAAGCUCAUUCUAGCCACAACUCUUCAAACUGCACCAUGGAUCAUUUUUGAAAGAUAACAUCUUUAACAUUAAGAAAUCUCAAGUUUUCCAUUUGAGAAAUCUUCUGGAUUCUGCAUUCCAGUGGUUCCACUGAAGCCAGUAGGGCUGAAUACCCCAUGUAGGAACAGACUCAGCACAAGAAUGUAGGUUCUACAUUCUUAUCAUUUCAUUCCCCAUGCCCUAACCAAUCAGUGAUCCCAAUUCCUCAGCCCACUAUUCUCCAAAAUUUCCUUAAAUAUGCCCAUCCAAAACCCCUCAGGGAAGCAGAUUUGAGGUUCCCUUCAGUUCCCUUCUUUGGUUGCCCUAUGAUUAUUAAACUAUUUCUCUACUGCAACUCUUGCUGUUUCAG
rnacentral:lncRNA from 1 species